rnacentral:rRNA from 1 species
GACGAACGCUGGCGGCGUGCUUAACACAUGCAAGUCGAACGAUGAAGCUGGAGCUUGCUCUAGCGGAUUAGUGGCGAACGGGUGAGUAACACGUGAGCAAUCUGCCCUUGACUCUGGGAUAACUGCGGGAAACUGUAGCUAAUACCGGAUACUUUCACCGGGGGGCAUCCUCUGGUGAUGAAAGAAUUUCGGUCUAGGAUGAGCUCGAGGCCUAUCAGCUUGUUGGUGAGGUAACGGCUCACCAAGGCGACGACGGGUAACCGGCCUGAGAGGGUGACCGGUCACACUGGGACUGGGACACGGCCCAGACUCCUACGGGAGGCAGCAGUGGGGAAUAUUGCACAAUGGGCGCAAGCCUGAUGCAGCAACGCCGCGUGAGGGAUGAAGGCCUUCGGGUUGUAAACCUCUUUUAGCAGGGAAGAAGCGAAAGUGACGGUACCUGCAGAAAAAGCACCGGCUAACUACGUGCCAGCAGCCGCGGUAA